UUAUAUACGUUUAAAAUGGCAGUUACAACAAAUUAAACGUUCCCUCCUCAUUUCUACACAGCUACUUCCUCAUUUUUUUUCUCUGAAAAAAUGAUCACAUUCACUGAUUGCAAGAAUGCUUUUAACAAUUACUUUUUGAGACAAUGAGAUUUUGAACAUAAUCCUGCUCAAUAUCCCAAUCAAGCUUACAAUUGCUUGAGAAAGGUCUAUCUCAUUGAGCGCUACUGUUGGAUCCUUGUUGCAUUUGAUCUGGGAAGUAGGGGGCUUGUUCACAAUCCUUACUUGUGCUGCAAGUAUACUCUGUUUUUUACUCACACCGCCGCAGGGCGUGAAGAAGAGGAUGUUAUUCUUGAUGACAAGUGCCUGUUCCUUUGGGGCUUCUGUUAACGUUGGCCUUUUCACCACUUAUCUCUUAGGAGUUGAUCAAGGCUCUGUUUGUAACUAUUUGGCAAGUUUAACAAUGAUCUUCGGUUGUUUCUCGUUGGUAUCCCCUGUUAACAUCGCGAAGGAACACCCUCUACUUUGAUAGCCUCCUCGCUUCCCAACUAGUAACGCAAACCUGGCAGUUUACCCUUGCUCACUUCACUGUGGGUCUGCCUCCACAGGUACGUAAGCCGUUGAAGGCUUUGAUUCGCCCUCGAUCGGUCGGUCAUCUAUGAAUGAACAGUUUGAAUUUGAUUGACUCAGCUUGAACUGCUGAUCAUAUCACAGCAGUACGUUCGGCUUGUUUUGCUACUUUUUGGCUUUUAGCCAAGAGAUACUGUAUUAUGCUCGUCUUGGAGAUGUUGACAUUGUUAAUCGUGCAUUCACCUUCUGACUCCAUCUACCGGGUAUGGCGGCCUAUGUAUACUUACUAAUUCUACAGGGACUCAUGGGGAUCAACAUGGGGCUCGAAAGGUACAACCUGGGUAUGGACAGGCAGGAUGAAGAUGACGAUGAGGGUCGAUGAUGCAUGAUUAAAGCUUUGAGCUCUACCAUUUCGCUUAUCAACUACAUCUUUCUUUGUCAUGACAAUAAAUAGCCAGUAGAUCGGAAAUAUGGAAACUGUGAAUGAUGUGCAAAUAUUUUGAAUGUGCAACUCGUAGA